rnacentral:rRNA from 1 species
CCUACGGGUGGCAGCAGUGGGGAAUAUUGCACAAUGGGGGAAACCCUGAUGCAGCGACGCCGCGUGAGUGAAGAAGUAAUUCGGUACGUAAAGCUCUAUCAGCAGGGAAGAAACACUGACCAUACGGUCAGCAGACGGUAUCUGAGGAAGAAGCCCCGGCGACCUACGGGCGAGCAGCCGCGGUAAGACGUCGGGGGCAAGCGUUAUCCGGAGUUACUGGGUGGAAAGGGAGCGUAGACGGUGCGCCAAGUCUGGAGGGAAAUGCCGCCGCGUAACGGCGGAACUGCUUUUGAAACUGGCGAACUAGAGUGCGGGAGGGGUAAGCGGAAUUCCUAGUGUAGCGGUGAAAUGCGUAGAUAUUAGGAGGAACACCGGUGGCGAAGGCGGCUUACUGGACCGUAACUGACGUUGAGGCUCGAAAGCGUGGGGAGCAAACAGGAUUAGAUACCCCUGUAGUC